CAGAGUUGCAAGACUCCCUAACCAUUGUGAACCUACCUUCUACCGUUGCUUCGGCGGGGCCGGGGCACCAGCGCCGCCCCGGCCCCCUCUCGGGGGCCCGGCAAGCCGGAGGAUACCCGAAACCCUUGUACAUUAGUGGCCUCUCUGAGUAAUUCUUACUAAUAAGUCA
rnacentral:misc_RNA from 1 species